CCCUUAGAUGUUCUGGGCCGCACGCGUGCUACACUGAGUGGAUCAGCGGGUCAGGUUGCGCGAAAGCGUUUCCUAAUCUUUAAAUCCGCUCGUGAUGGGGAUUGACGGUUGCAAUUUUCUGUCAUGAACGAGGAAUACCUUGUAAGCGCGGGUCAUCAUCCCGCGCUGAAUACGUCCCUGCCCUUUGUACACACCGCCCGUCGCUCCUACCGAUUGAGUGGUCCGGUGAGGCUUUGGGAUCUGAGCGGAAAGAGCGUUUCGCUGUUUCUGCUCGGAAAACUCCGUCGAACCUUAUCAUUUAGAGGAAGGAGAAGUCGUAACA
rnacentral:rRNA from 1 species